AAGGAGCCGAUCGAAACACCCUGUUAGGCGCUUUGAUGUAGCUAAAAUUAUAGGGUUCACUAAUGAAAACCCUAGGAGUACAAGGUUUAUAAACAGGAAAAAUAGACAGAACCUUGGAAUUCCGGCUUUUAUCACUUGGUUUGGGUCCCCCAAACGCAUGCACAAGAUUGUCAACAGAAUAAGGAAAGAUUAAUUGACUUUCCCAAAACUUUUGUAAGUCC
rnacentral:lncRNA from 1 species